AUUUCAUCCGAUUGGUAGUCUCAGGAAUUUAUUUGGAUGUGUCUCUGCAUGGAGGUUGGAGUCCCCAAACUUCCAAUUCCUCUCUUUUCUCUCCUUUGCAUAUCUUGCAUCUGCCUCCUCUCGUCUCUCGUCUCUUCCUAUCUUCCCUUUGUCUUAACUUUUAAAGGGCCAGACUCUCUGUACGUCAUCAGUUGAUAACCCAAUAGAAGCACUAGAGGUGUGGUUAUCUUCCAG